AAAUAUCGCUCACCUGAGCUCUUCAUCAGCUUGUCAAAGCUCUUGCCCCAACUACGGAUUUCCUCUAAUGAAUUCGGAAUUAGCGAGAUCACGCUUUGUGGGCGCAUUUUCAUCGGCAUUCUUGAUGGCCAGACUGUAAGCAUAAUAAAAAAAUAUUGGAAAUUA